GAGUUUGAUCAUGGCUCAGGAUGAACGCUAGCGGCAGGCUUAACACAUGCAAGUCGAGGGGCAUCGGGAGGGAAGCUUGCUUUCCUUGCCGGCGACCGGCGCACGGGUGAGUAACACGUAUGCAACCUGCCCUCUUCAGGGGGACAACCUUCCGAAAGGGAGGCUAAUCCCGCGUAUAUCGGUUUCGGGCAUCCGAGAUCGAGGAAAGAUUCAUCGGAAGAGGAUGGGCAUGCGGCGCAUUAGCUUGACGGCGGGGUAACGGCCCACCGUGGCGACGAUGCGUAGGGGUUCUGAGAGGAGGGUCCCCCACACUGGUACUGAGACACGGACCAGACUCCUACGGGAGGCAGCAGUGAGGAAUAUUGGUCAAUGGGAGAGAUCCUGAACCAGCCAAGCCGCGUGAGGGAAGACGGCCCUAUGGGUUGUAAACCUCUUUUGUCGGAGAACAAAACCCGGGACGUGUCCCGGACUGCGUGUAUCCGAAGAAAAAGCAUCGGCUAACUCCGUGCCAGCAGCCGCGGUAAUACGGAGGAUGCGAGCGUUAUCCGGAUUUAUUGGGUUUAAAGGGUGCGUAGGCGGUCCGUUAAGUCAGCGGUAAAAUUGCGGGGCUCAACCCCGUCGAGCCGUUGAAACUGGCAGACUUGAGUUGGCGAGAAGUACGCGGAAUGCGCGGUGUAGCGGUGAAAUGCAUAGAUAUCGCGCAGAACUCCGAUUGCGAAGGCAGCGUACCGGCGCCAGACUGACGCUGAGGCACGAAAGCGUGGGGAUCGAACAGGAUUAGAUACCCUGGUAGUCCACGCAGUAAACGAUGAAUGCUGGUUGUCCGGGUCGAAUGAGAUCUGGGCGGCGAAGCGAAAGCGAUAAGCAUUCCACCUGGGGAGUACGCCGGCAACGGUGAAACUCAAAGGAAUUGACGG
rnacentral:rRNA from 1 species